rnacentral:rRNA from 1 species
CGGUGACGACGGGGCUUGCCCUGUCUGAUCAGUGGCGAACGGGUGAGUAACACGUGAGUAACCUGCCCUUGACUCUGGGAUAACCGCGGGAAACGGCGGCUAAUACCGGAUAUGAGACGUACAGGCAUCUGUUGCGUCUGGAAAGAUUUAUUAGUCAAGGAUGGGCUCGCGGCCUAUCAGCUUGUUGGUGGGGUGAUGGCCUACCAAGGCGACGACGGGUAGCCGGCCUGAGAGGGCGACCGGCCACACUGGGACUGAGACACGGCCCAGACUCCUACGGGAGGCAGCAGUGGGGAAUAUUGCACAAUGGGCGCAAGCCUGAUGCAGCGACGCCGCGUGAGGGAUGAAGGCCUUCGGGUUGUAAACCUCUUUCAGCAGGGAAGAAGCGCAAGUGACGGUACCUGCAGAAGAAGCGCCGGCUAACUACGUGCCAGCAGCCGCGGUAAUACGUAGGGCGCAAGCGUUGUCCGGAAUUAUUGGGCGUAAAGAGCUCGUAGGCGGUUUGUCGCGUCUGCUGUGAAAACCUGAGGCUCAACCUCGGGCUUGCAGUGGGUACGGGCAGACUAGAGUGCGGUAGGGGUGACUGGAAUUCCUGGUGUAGCGGUGGAAUGCGCAGAUAUCAGGAGGAACACCGAUGGCGAAGGCAGGUCACUGGGCCGCAACUGACGCUGAGGAGCGAAAGCAUGGGGAGCGAACAGGAUUAGAUACCCUGGUAGUCCAUGCCGUAAACGUUGGGCACUAGGUGUGGGGCUCAUUCCACGAGUUCCGUGCCGCAGCAAACGCAUUAAGUGCCCCGCCU